GCGCAAGGCUGGACGACGAGGAGCCAUCAUCUUUUGUGGCUGUCGCGCCGAGGAAAGUUAGGUCGCCAUAGCAGCCUUGAAAUGAGUUACGCGCUCACGGAUGGAUAGGGCCGGGGGCGGGGGAGUGACGAGGGGGACCGGAAAACAUUAAGUGUCCUCGGGUACUUGCGGGAGAUGCUUUCCUGGCUUUUGCACACGGAGGGCGAGGCAAAGUUUGGAGGCAGAUGACGCGCCGGGCGCUCCCCUCCUUCCGCGGCUCGCCCAGCCCCCGGGUAACCGGGCGGAGACUGCGCACGUCCGCGUGUGGGGCGGGGGAGGUGGCAGAAGCGGAGGAAAGAGGACGGAGGGGACGAGCUCCGGGAGGAAAAUGAGGCUGUGGCGUGUGGGAGCCCGGAGCGCAAAAUAGGCUGAUCUUUUCAUUCAGGAGGCGUCUCCGUGGAGACUGAGGAGGUGCUAGGAGUCCCCUGGGGUGCUGUCAGCGCCGCUUGCUGAGUUUCUGCGGAAGAGUGAAAUACGAGACCCCAAAGCCCCCGCCCCACCCCCGACUCCAAGAAGGGCCAUUUCAGGGACGCCACUCGGGAAACCCCGGUGCCUUUGAAGGACUGCAGACAUCCUAUGCGCUGACAAAACUCAUCUCAUCCUUCGGUCCGUUCUCCGGCAGGGACCGCCUGCCAGGGGGUUGCGACCGGGAGCCACCGGCGAGGAGGCAGCCGGCGGGGUUGAAAUGCCACACUUGCAUUUGCAACAGCCUAGUUUGCGAGGCUUUUUCAAUGCAAAUGUGAAGUACUCCAUCUGCGUUCCGGCUUCUCUGCUCCUAUUUAUAGCGUGGCUUCUGGAGAAAGUCUGCUCCAUGUUGAAAAAAGCAAAACCCUGAUAAACAAACAUUUGGAACACAGACACUUUAAAUUGUCGUAUAGCCUCUGGAAAUGCCACUUAGUUACCACAACAAACAUUUCUUGUGCAUUCCAUGCUAGGCUUGGGAACACUGGCAGCGCCUUCAUAAACGGCAUCACUGCUGUUUGUGCUAUGGGGUGCCUCUUCCAUGUGCCCCGACAGGGCCAGGCGUGCCAUCGCAUCAGAUAGAAUAUGAUUACCUCUUUAAUUCUCUUUCCUUCUGCUUAAACCAAACAGGAGGUCUCACUUGGGAGCUAAUAGAUCUUUAACACCUUUCUAAUACUUCUUUGUCACUAUUGUUAGGGUUACCGGCAAAAGUAUAGAGCUUCAGGCAGUUUUCCGGCUAGAACUGAUUUCCUUUGCUUUGUUUUUAUUGCAUUUAUUUUUAUCUUUAACUUCUGUUUUUGGCCACUGAUACCGAUUUUUUUCCCUUAUGUUGUGAUUGUGUAUUUUAAAAAUAAAUUAGAGCCAGAAAUAAAAGAUCUAUUUAAA
rnacentral:lncRNA from 1 species